rnacentral:piRNA from 1 species
AAGGAGAUCUUGGAUAAGAAGGUUG